CCUUCUUCACUACAACCACCACCACCACCACCACCAGCAACAACAACAGCAGCAGCAGCAGCUCUACCGCCGCUUCCGACAGAAGGGGGAAGCUCCUCUUAAAAUGUGAUCAAACCUGCAACCAAAAAAAAAAAAAAUAUCUGCGAAAAAAUGGAUUUUUUUUUUUUAAUUUUCUUUUUCAACCAAAAAAAAAAAUGGUUGCAGAUUUAGGAAUAGAAGAAAAACCGACUCCUCCGGUUUAGGCUGCUGCCGCCUCUGCUGCUGCUGCUUUGUCCUAAAUUCAGAGCAUGAUCCGGUUCAGGCUCGAAAACGCUCGCUGCAGCUUGUUUUUCUCAAUGCACAGACAGCGCCUCGACGCAACGAGCCGCUACUACUACUACUGCUGCUGCUACUGCUGCUGCUGCUGCUGUGCAAUGAAUGAGGCUCGCUGCUGCUCAUAUAAAAAAGGAGAACAACAACAACAACAACAACACAAAAAGGCACCUCCAUUAGCCAGUAACCAGGAAGCUCUGUCAUGAGGUGGGGAUUUCCAGCCAGUGUGUUGUAAACUUGAAUGGAUUGGGGCUGCAGCAUGAAUAUGGCUCUGCCCACAUUUUAUUCUCGUGCACUGAUCCAAAUCUGUCACCGCUAAAAUGAAAUUACGCUGGAUUGAAUCAACCAUCUACACUCCUUUUUUUUUUUUUUUUUUUUUUAGCGAGUUAAUAAAUACCUCCCGACACAUUAGUCUGAAAGGUUUAACAAGAUAAAUGGCUGCUGGUUUUUUUAUUUUUUUUUUAUUUCCUUUUUAUGCGAAGGGAAAGCGUCUUAGUAGAAACAGGUCAUAUGGUAGAAACUCUGCCAAAAUCCCCUUAAGUAAAA